UAUUAAAUAUUGAUGGUCAGAGCUUGAAAGACAAAAGACAUUAGUUUGAAGACCUCACAAUUCUUUUUUUCAGGUUCAGCUGACGCUGAUGGUCCAUCAAGAUUAUGAACUGUGGGAAAAUGAAGUAUAACAACAUAAAAGAAACAGUCAAGUAGUGUGGGCUGGAGACAAAAACUCAGGAUAAUGGAUGCUGAAGAGGAUUAUAGUCUUCUGGAGAUGAAUUUAAAGGCUAGUACUUCACACUCCCACAUCUAAGAGAUAAAAUUCCUUUGCCAGAGAAAAAGGAUCAUCACAUGUAUAUAUGACAUUUGUUCCAGGGAACCCCAAAUAGUAAUCCAUUCAUCCUUACACCAUUUGUGGUAUUGCAAAGUAACAAGAUGUAUUAGAAGGCACCACAAAAUAAUAUCAAAACCAAAGAAAAGAUAAGCAAGAGCAUGUUGGAUAAGGUGAAAGCCAUUUAUUGUACUUAGAAAAAAAGAGGUCAGUCACAAGAAAAAAUGUACAGUACAUUAGAAACCUUGAGGGACAGAAAAACACAAACAAACAACACUGAAAUAAUACAGUAAUUGAUAUUUAAGUAUGGGUAACAAUUUUGAUAAGAGCACACUAUAAAAUGAGAGAAUUGUAAAUUUUGACAUGUGCAUGAAGUAAUAUCCUGCCAUUGACCAACAGGGGAAUGAUCAAAACUGUGCCUUAUAUGAAAUACAUUUAUUGCAACAUGUAGAAUAGGUAUGAAUGAGAAUGAAUAUUUUCACAUUGUAAGUGAUUUAUUUGACCAAUUUAGAUGAUAUCUUUGUCAGAAGUACAUUUAUCUUUGACUACUAAAAGGGUCUGUCAAAUGGAGCCAACUAUACUAUUCUCCUACUGAAAUGUUGGUGUCCAUUGAUUUUGCUUGUGCAGUGCGAGCCUCUUCUCAAACGCUUGUAAACUUAAGUUCUUGGACACACUGUACCUAGUUGCAUGGGCCCGGAGCUAAUCUUCAACUUAGCACUGGCUUGGUCACAAGUAACACUUAUUGUAAGAUGAUGAAAACUCAUUUGUGCUGUAUUAAAAAUUCCCAGCAGGAAUGAUUAGAUACAUCUUACAAUUAACUUAAUUUUUUCAUUGAAAAAUUGUCAUGCUUUUUGUAUGUAAGUAAUUUUAGAAUAAAAUAAAUGUGAAUUGAA